rnacentral:rRNA from 1 species
GAUGAACGCUGGCGGCGUGCCUAUACAUGCAAGUCGAGCGAACAGAUAAGGAGCUUGCUCCUUUGACGUUAGCGGCGGACGGGUGAGUAACACGUGGGUAACCUACCUAUAAGACUGGGAUAACUUCGGGAAACCGGAGCUAAUACCGGAUAACAUUUGGAACCGCAUGGUUCUAAAGUGAAAGAUGGUUUUGCUAUCACUUAUAGAUGGACCCGCGCCGUAUUAGCUAGUUGGUAAGGUAACGGCUUACCAAGGCGACGAUACGUAGCCGACCUGAGAGGGUGAUCGGCCACACUGGAACUGAGACACGGUCCAGACUCCUACGGGAGGCAGCAGUAGGGAAUCUUCCGCAAUGGGCGAAAGCCUGACGGAGCAACGCCGCGUGAGUGAUGAAGGGUUUCGGCUCGUAAAACUCUGUUAUUAGGGAAGAACAAAUGUGUAAGUAACUGUGCACGUCUUGACGGUACCUAAUCAGAAAGCCACGGCUAACUACGUG